rnacentral:rRNA from 1 species
CAUGCCGUAAACGUUGGGCACUAGGUGUGGGGGGCAUUCCACGUUCUCCGCGCCGUAGCUAACGCAUUAAGUGCCCCGCCUGGGGAGUACGGCCGCAAGGCUAAAACUCAAAGGAAUUGACGGGGGCCCGCACAAGCGGCGGAGCAUGCGGAUUAAUUCGAUGCAACGCGAAGAACCUUACCAAGGCUUGACAUGCACCGGACGGCUGCAGAAAUGUGGCUUUCUUCGGACUGGUGCACAGGUGG